GAUGUGUAGGAUAGGUGGGAGGCUUUGAAGCGUGGACGCCAGUCUGCGUGGAGCCAACCUUGAAAUACCACCCUUUAAUGUUUGAUGUUCUAACGUAGGCCCCUGACCGGGGUUGCGGACAGUGUCUGGUGGGUAGUUUGACUGGGGCGGUCUCCUCCCAAAGAGUAACGGAGGAGCACGAAGGUUAGCUAAUCCUGGUCGGACAUCAGGAGGUUAGUGCAAUGGCAUAAGCUAGCUUGACUGCGAGCGUGACGGCGCGA
rnacentral:rRNA from 1 species